GACGAACGCUGGCGGCGUGCUUAACACAUGCAAGUCGAACGGAAAGGCCCUGCGUUUGUGGGGUGAUCGGGUGGGGAACGGGUGAGUAACACGUGAGUAACCUGCCCUUGACUUUGGGGUAACUUCAGGAAACUGGGGCUACUACCGUAUAGCAGCUGCUGCUGCAUGGAGGGGGUGGGAACGUCUCGGCGGGUGGGGCUGGAUUGGCGGCUUAUCAGCUUGUUGGUCGGGGAGGGGUUGACCAAGGCUGUGACGGGUAGGCGGCACGAGAGGGUGAACGGGCUCAUUGGGACUGCGAUACGGACCAGUCUCCUACGGGGGGCAGCAGGGGGGAACAUUGUACAAUGGGCGGAAGUCUGAUGCAGCGACGCUGCGGGCGUGAUGACGGCCUUCGGGGUGUAAACAGCUUUAGCCUGUGACGAAGCGUGAGUGACGGUACUGGGUAAAGAAGCACCGGCUAACUACGUG
rnacentral:rRNA from 1 species